UACGGGGGGGGCAAGCGUUGUUCGGAAUUACUGGGCGUAAAGGGCGCGUAGGCGGUUGGAUAAGUCAGCUGUGAAAACCACGAGCUUAACUCGUGGCCUGCAGUUGAGACUGUCUGGCUUGAGUGUGGGAGAGGAGAGUGGAAUUCCUGGUGUAGCGGUGAAAUGCGUAGAUAUCGUCAAGAACACCUAUAGCGAAGGCAGCUUACUAGGCUGUAACUGACGCUGAGGCACGAAAGUGUGGGGAUCAAACAGG
rnacentral:rRNA from 1 species